AUGUAAGUUUUCUUUAUAUUUCUUUCUUGUAAGUUUUUUUUAAAAGAUCUGAAAUAUAUAUACAAAAAAGGGAGAGAGAGUAGAGUCUGUGAGGCAAGAAAUGAAUGGAAGUUUCCGACUCUUGCUUGCUUUGUUAUUCAUUUUUCUUUUUUAUAUGUAUGGUGUGAAUGAAUGGAAGUUUCCGACUCUGCUGCUGUUGCUCUGUCUCUCGUCUUCGUCUUUUCUUGUUUUUUUCCAGCAGAGUUAAUUUAUAUCAGAAUCGGUGGUCGGGAUGAUGGGAGGUUAUUGCGCUUCAGCUCUCAGCUGAGCAUAAUGUGAGCAUAGAGUCUGUGAGGCAAGAAAUGCACUCCUUGCAUCCUGAUGACUCCCGUAUUGUCGUCUUAAAGCACAAUGUCUGGCGUGUUAAGGGCCUUAUUCAGGUAUCACGAUCCAUAGGAGACUUGUAUCUUAAGAAAGCCGAGUUCAACAGGGAACCGUUGUACACAAAGUUCCGGCUGCGGGAGCCAAUGAAAAGACCAAAGUUCCGGCUGCAGAUCUUUUUGUAUAUAUAUUUCAGAUCUUUUAUUAAUGUAAGUUUUCUUUAUAUUUUAGGAAGAAUUCUAACGAAGCUGGUUUAUUUGCUUCCUCUCUCUCUCUCUUUAUGUAAGUAUUUUGACUGACU